CUGUGUAGGAUAGACCUCUGAACAGUACGCAACGAACGCGAUCGUAAUCCCUUGUUGAGUGGCCAUCCUGUAAGCUGCUGGAUUAGGAACCCAGUGGUAUUAUCUCAGCCACAGAUUUUCUGGUUGUAAUGGGCCAGUUUUGAAACUCGGGGAACAUCUGUGACUUUCUUUCUUAACGCAGAGGAAGGUUAUGGCAAUAACAGGUCUGUGAUGCCCUUAGAUGUCCAGGGCUGCACACGUACUACAUUGAUCAACUCAGUAGGCGUCGUGUUUUCUCCAAUAACGUAUCUAGUGGACUUGGUGUCGGGUGCGUGGCCUCGGUCGUGUACUUUGAUUACUGUCACUUUAAACACUGGUCGUUAGACUCGUGCAAUCCAAUAGAAGAGGUGACUAAGUUUCCCAGUACCGUGUUCGCCUCCCGUGUCAGUAGGGCCCCUCGCAUAUACCAGUCGAAGUGGGCCCUUUGUGCUUUUUUCAAAUCUUAGUGGGGACAGACAUCUGUUAACUUUUUGUCUCGGUCCCA
rnacentral:rRNA from 1 species